GCCAGAGUGACUUCACUUCACUUCAACCAUCAACCGUCACUUUUCAGUCAUGAAUCUGACUGCAAUCUUCAACUCUGUACAAACAUCAUAUUCAAGGUGGUGUGAGGACUGCUGCCCUGAGAACGCUGUGUCAGAGACACUUAGGCUGUGUGCAUUUUGGAAUGUUCCAAAUGUGUGUCACUUCCAUAAGGAAGAAGUUCCAAGCCCGCAAUGGGCUCAACUGUCAACAACUGUCCAGGGCGAAGUCGGUCUACCCUGAUGGC